GGAAGUAAAAGUCGUAACAAGGUUUCCGUAGGUGAACCUGCGGAAGGAUCAUUAUUGAAAUCACAGCAGCUAUGGGGAGAUUGGUUGAUUGCUGGUCCGUUUGGACAUGUGCACGCUGAUUAUCUUCUAAUGCUCGCUUUCUAAUACCUUUCAACACUUUGUGCACCUUUUGUAGACUAAACAUUCUUAGUCUAUGUUAUUAUCCUUUUAAUAUACUCUUGAAUGUUAAACAAUGUCAGUAGAAGUAAGAAUACUUCGAAAACACUAUACAACUUUCAACAACGGAUCUCUUGGCUCUCGCAUCGAUGAAGAACGCAGCGAAAUGCGAUAAGUAAUGUGAAUUGCAGAAUUCAGUGAAUCAUCGAAUCUUUGAACGCACCUUGCACUCCUUGGUAUUCUGAGGAGUAUGCCUGUUUGAGUGUCAUAAAUUUCUCAAAGCCCUAACUUUAUUGUUAAGGUAUUUGGAGUUUAGAGCAUGCUGGAUCUUUUCGGCUACUCUCAAAUAUAUUAGUGAUCCUUUGUGAUAAACAAAGCAUCAUUUGGUCUGAUAAUACUUAUCUAUGCCAUUUGAUGUGCAAUCGUUCUCAUAGGAUUGCUUCUAAAAUGUCUUUAGACAGCUAUAUUAUUAUUUUGACCUCAAAUCAGGUGGGAUUACCCGCUGAACUUAAGCAUAUCAAUAAGCGGAGGAA
rnacentral:rRNA from 1 species